UGUUGAUUCAUAUAUGGACAUUAUUUGAUGUGUAAUUUAUAUUAUCUUUCAGAUGCAGGAGAGUAACGCAUGUAAUUAUUUUGGUUGGUACGACCCACAAUUUACGAGCCGGAGUAUCUCAGUGGUUAAUAGUUUACUAGAAAACAAUAAUAAGUUCCGGGAAGAAGCCGCAGUUGCAGCAAAGAGAAAAAGAUAGAAAUGGGCCGUUUUUGUCAUGUAUGGGAUAGUAAGUGGGAUUUUUUGGUCAUCCUGCUAU
rnacentral:lncRNA from 1 species